rnacentral:rRNA from 1 species
UNGGUGGGGAAUAACUGUUGGAAACGACAGCUAAUACCGCAUAAUAUUGCUGGAUAAUUUCCAGUAAUGAAAGGAGCUUUCAAGCUCCGCUGAUUGAUGAGGAUGCGGCGCAUUAGCUAGUUGGUAGGGUAAUGGCCUACCAAGGCAAUGAUGCGUAGCCGAUCUGAGAGGAUGAACGGCCACAUUGGGACUGAGACACGGCCCAAACUUCUACGGAAGGCAGCAGUAGGGANUUUUUCACAAUGGGCGAAAGCCUGAUGGAGCAAUGCCGCGUGACUGAUGAAGGUCUUCGGAUUGUAAAGGUCUGUUGUAAGGGAAGAAAUGGUAGAACAGGAAAUGGUUUUAUCUAUGACGGUACCUUACCAGAAAGCCACGGCUAACUAUGUGCCAGCAGCCGCGGUAAUACAUAGGUGGCAAGCGUUAUCCGGAUUUAUUGGGCGUAAAGGGUGCGUAGACGGUUUUGCAAGUCUGAGGUUAAAUUUAGGAGCUCAACUCCUAAUCGCCUUGNAAACUACAAGACUAGAGUAUAGGAGAGGUUAGUGGAAUUCCAUGUGUAGCGGUGGAAUGUGUAGAUAUAUGGAGGAACACCAGUGGCGA